rnacentral:rRNA from 1 species
AUUGUCGAUACCUAACAAAAACAGCCCAGACCCAGCGAACAUGUUAAACCACAGCGCCGACGGCCGCUAACCCGGUCCCGACGCGCACAAAAACAAUCCCGGCGCAGCAAGCGCCAAGUAAGUUGCAUACGACCGCACACGCACCUCCCCGCUCGGGGAGGACGCGGGUGCGUCGAAACACGUACAAUAAGUCAAUAUGACUCUCGGCAACGGAUAUCUCGGCUCUCGCAUCGAUGAAGAACGCAGCAAAAUGCGAUACUUGGUGUGAAUUGCAGAAUCCCGUGAAUCAUCGAGUCUUUGAACGCAAGUUGCGCCCGAGGCCCUACGGCCGAGGGCACAUCUGCUUGGGCGUCGACAGUGGUUGGGGCGCGGUGUUGAUUAGCAGGUCAACCCGCGCCCGUGCACGUUGGUCGUCCGUGCGCCGUAUGUAGCGCGCGGUUGGCUGAAAUUGAUCGGGUGCGAGGCGUUGGAGCCCCAACAAGUCGGUGGUUGUGAAGGCCGCAAGGCCGCGAUUGUCGGAAAGUUGCGAAGCUCCACCACCCCGCCGCCCCAUUAGUACCCCGACGUGCAUGCCAUGCGUGCAUGCACAUGGAUCCCGACCCCAAGUCAGGUGGGACUACCCGC